rnacentral:rRNA from 1 species
UACGGAGGAUCCAAGCGUUAUCCGGAAUCAUUGGGUUUAAAGGGUCCGUAGGCGGUCUUAUAAGUCAGUGGUGAAAUCUCUCCGCGUCAACGGGGAAACGGCCAUUGAUACUGUAAGACUUGAAUUAUUGGGAAGUAACUAGAAUAUGUAGUGUAGCGGUGAAAUGCUUAGAUAUUACAUGGAAUACCGAUUGCGAAGGCAGGUUACUACCAAUGGAUUGACGCUGAUGGACGAAAGCGUGGGGAGCGAACAGG